rnacentral:rRNA from 1 species
AAAUUGAAGAGUUUGAUCAUGGCUCAGAUUGAACGCUGGCGGCAGGCCUAACACAUGCAAGUCGAGCGGUAACACAGGGAGCUUGCUCCUGGGUGACGAGCGGCGGACGGGUGAGUAAUGUCUGGGAAACUGCCUGAUGGAGGGGGAUAACUACUGGAAACGGUAGCUAAUACCGCAUAACGUCGCAAGACCAAAGAGG